rnacentral:sRNA from 1 species
UCAGUUGAAAGGCAUUAGGGUCAGAGU